rnacentral:rRNA from 1 species
GAUGAACGCUGGCGGCGUGCCUAAUACAUGCAAGUCGAGCGAACAGACGAGGAGCUUGCUCCUCUGACGUUAGCGGCGGACGGGUGAGUAACACGUGGAUAACCUACCUAUAGGACUGGGAUAACUUCGGGAAACCGGAGCUAAUACCGGAUAAUAUAUUGAACCGCAUGGUUCAAUAGUGAAAGACGGUUUUGCUGUCACUUAUAGAUGGAUCCGCGCCGCAUUAGCUAGUUGGUAAGGUAACGGCUUACCAAGGCAACGAUGCGUAGCCGACCUGAGAGGGUGAUCGGCCACACUGGAACUGAGACACGGUCCAGACUCCUACGGGAGGCAGCAGUAGGGAAUCUUCCGCAAUGGGCGAAAGCCUGACGGAGCAACGCCGCGUGAGUGAUGAAGGUCUUCGGAUCGUAAAACCCUGUUAUUAGGGAAGAACAAAUGUGUAAGUAACUAUGCACGUCUUGACGGUACCUAAUCAGAAAGCCACGGCUAACUACGUG